UCCAGACUCCUACGGGAGGCAGCAGUGGGGAAUAUUGCACAAUGGGGGAAACCCUGAUGCAGCGACGCCGCGUGAGUGAAGAAGUAUUUCGGUAUGUAAAGCUCUAUCAGCAGGGAAGAUAAUGACGGUACCUGACUAAGAAGCCCCGGCUAACUACGUGCCAGCAGCCGCGGUAAUACGUAGGGGGCAAGCGUUAUCCGGAUUUACUGGGUGUAAAGGGUGCGCAGGUGGCAGGGCAAGUCAGAUGUGAAAGCCCGGGGCUCAACCCCGGUAUUGCAUUUGAAACUGUCCGGCUAGAGUGCAGGAGAGGUAAGCGGAAUUCCUAGUGUAGCGGUGAAAUGCGUAGAUAUUAGGAGGAACACCAGUGGCGAAGGCGGCUUACUGGACUGUAACUGACACUGAGGCACGAAAGCGUGGGGAGCAAACAGGAUUAGAUACCCGUGUA
rnacentral:rRNA from 1 species